UGGGGAGGGUGGGGUUUAGACCCACUUGAGCAGGUUUACAGCCUGCCGCCUACAUUCGGCCACCUAACC
rnacentral:tRNA from 1 species